ACCUGGCUGGCUCAGUCAGUAGAGCAUGUGACUUUUGAUCUUGGGGUCGUGAGUUCAAGCCCUACAUUGGGUG
rnacentral:tRNA from 1 species